CCAAGGGCUGCAGAAAGCGUCCACCCCCAGCAUCAAUCAAGCCGGGCAGACCGUCUAGGGGGUGCUCUUUUGGAAAUACAGACUACAGAGCAGACUCCCAGCAGGAGAGGGCGGGUGUGUGUACCCUGGCGGCUCUGCCAGGCAGGGGCCUUUCUCCUGCCAGAGGACCAGUGCCUAGAAGCUGAGAGAACCCGGGGAUUCCCAAAGGCGCGGCCCCUGGCUCCACACUCCCGCCGCCGCUGAGGGCAUUGGCUGCAGGGCCCACCCCUCGGUCCACAGUGCGCUGCUCCGUGUAAAGCCUCGCUGCUCCCCUUGGACCCCCAGCCUGGGGUUACCGCCGUCGGAGGAAUGCUGACGGCACAGCCUACCGAGGCAACUCGGUAAGCACGCGCUUCCCUGGGUGCAGCGAGGUGAGGCUUCCGAGGGUGACCCAGGUUCUGACCCCAACUCACGUCAGGGAGACCCAGACAAAGCUCAGGACAAAGACUUCAGAGAACCAAACUACGGGAAGGAAGCAACACCUCAACUGUUCCUACUGUCAAGGUGCAAGGACACAGGGCAGCUGUCAAACCGCAAGCUACUUCGUGGUCACGUUCCAACAGCACUAUUUGCAACGGUCAGAAGGUGAAAGCGACCCAAGUGUCCAUCCGCAGAUGAAUGGAUACACAAAAUCUUCCAGCCUUAAAAGGGACAGUCUGACAUCGGAAAAAUUUUGAGGACAUUAUGCUAAGAGAAAGAGGCCAGGAACAAAAUGACAAAUGCCACAUGAUUCCAUUUCUGUGCCGUACCAAGAGACAUCAAAUUCACCGAGACAGAAAAUAGAAUGGUGAGCCAGGGCUUUAGCUCAGUGGUGCCGCUACCCACCUUC